CCUGAACGCUGGCGGCGUGGCUAAGACAUGCAAGUCGUACGGGGUGGCAGCAAUGCCAUCCAGUGGCGGACGGGUGAGUAAAGAAUCGCUAACGUGCCCCGGACUCCGGGAUAGCCGGCCGAAAGGCCGGGUAAUACCGGACGACAUCGCCGCCCCGCAUGGGGCGGCGCUCGAAGGGAAACCGGUCUGGGAGCGGGCGAUUUCGUAUCAGGUAGUUGGUGGGGUAACGGCCCACCAAGCCGACGACGCGAGCUGGUCUGAGAGGACGGCCAGCCACAUUGGGACUGAGACACUGCCCAGACUCCUACGGGGGGCUGCAGUAACGAAUCUUCCGCAAUGCACGCAAGUGUGACGGAGCGACGCCGCGUGGAGG
rnacentral:rRNA from 1 species